rnacentral:rRNA from 1 species
AAGCCCGACAUGCUACGCCGUCUGGUGGAUGACCAGGCUUGAGCGCUGAAGAAGGGCGCGGCAAGCAGCGAAAUGCCUCGGGUAGCUGCAUGCAAGCUUAGAUCCGAGGAUGCCUGAAUGAGACUUCUUGCGACGGACUCCCACGGGACUCCG